rnacentral:rRNA from 1 species
GUCGAACGAACUCUGGUAUUGAUUGGUGCUUGCAUCAUGAUUUACAUUUGAGUGAGUGGCGAACUGGUGAGUAACACGUGGGAAACCUGCCCAGAAGCGGGGGAUAACACCUGGAAACAGAUGCUAAUACCGCAUAACAACUUGGACCGCAUGGUCCGAGUUUGAAAGAUGGCUUCGGCUAUCACUUUUGGAUGGUCCCGCGGCGUAUUAGCUAGAUGGUGGGGUAACGGCUCACCAUGGCAAUGAUACGUAGCCGACCUGAGAGGGUAAUCGGCCACAUUGGGACUGAGACACGGCCCAAACUCCUACGGGAGGCAGCAGUAGGGAAUCUUCCACAAUGGACGAAAGUCUGAUGGAGCAACGCCGCGUGAGUGAAGAAGGGUUUCGGCUCGUAAAACUCUGUUGUUAAAGAAGAACAUAUCUGAGAGUAACUGUUCAGGUAUUGACGGUAUUUAACCAGAAAGCCACGGCUAACUACGUGCCAGCAGCCGCGGUAAUACGUAGGUGGCAAGCGUUGUCCGGAUUUAUUGGGCGUAAAGCGAGCGCAGGCGGUUUUUUAAGUCUGAUGUGAAAGCCUUCGGCUCAACCGAAGAAGUGCAUCGGAAACUGGGAAACUUGAGUGCAGAAGAGGACAGUGGAACUCCAUGGUGUAGCGGUGAAAUGCGUAGAUAUAUGGAAGAACACCAGUGGCGAAGGCGGCUGUCUGGUCUGUAACUGACGCUGAGGCUCGAAAGUAUGGGUAGCAAACAGGAUUAGAUACCCUGGUAGUCCAUACCGUAAACGAUGAAUGCUAAGUGUUGGAGGGUUUCCGCCCUUCAGUGCUGCAGCUAACGCAUUAAGCAUUCCGCCUGGGGAGUACGGCCGCAAGGCUGAAACUCAAAGGAAUUGACGGGGGCCCGCACAAGCGGUGGAGCAUGUGGUUUAAUUCGAAGCUACGCGAAGAACCUUACCAGGUCUUGACAUACUAUGCAAAUCUAAGAGAUUAGACGUUCCCUUCGGGGACAUGGAUACAGGUGGUGCAUGGUUGUCGUCAGCUCGUGUCGUGAGAUGUUGGGUUAAGUCCCGCAACGAGCGCAACCCUUAUUAUCAGUUGCCAGCAUUAAGUUGGGCACUCUGGUGAGACUGCCGGUGACAAACCGGAGGAAGGUGGGGAUGACGUCAAAUCAUCAUGCCCCUUAUGACCUGGGCUACACACGUGCUACAAUGGAUGGUACAACGAGUUGCGAACUCGCGAGAGUAAGCUAAUCUCUUAAAGCCAUUCUCAGUUCGGAUUGUAGGCUGCAACUCGCCUACAUGAAGUCGGAAUCGCUAGUAAUCGCGGAUCAGCAUGCCGCGGUGAAUACGUUCCCGGGCCUUGUACACACCGCCCGUCACACCAUGAGAGUUUGUAACACCCAAAGUCGGUGGGGUAACCUUUUAGGAACCAGCCGCC